rnacentral:rRNA from 1 species
AACGCGAAGAACCUUACCUGGGUUAAAUCCACCGGAAUCCUGCAGAGAUGUGGGAGUGCCCUUCGGGGAGCCGGUGAGAAGGUGCUGCAUGGCUGUCGUCAGCUCGUGUCGUGAGAUGUUGGGUUAAGUCCCGCAACGAGCGCAACCCUCGUCGUUAGUUGCUAACAGUUAGGCUGAGCACUCUAACGAGACUGCCGACGUUAAGUCGGAGGAAGGUGGGGAUGACGUCAAGUCCUCAUGGCCCUUAUGCCCAGGGCUACACACGUGCUACAAUGGCCGGUACAAAGGGUUGCUAACCUGCGAAGGUCCGCCAAUCCCAAAAAACCGGUCUCAGUUCGGAUAGGAGUCUGCAACUCGACUCCUUGAAGUCGGAAUCGCUAGUAAUCGCGGAUCAGCACGCCGCGGUGAAUACGUUCCCGGGCCUUGUACACACCGGAGUGC